rnacentral:rRNA from 1 species
UACGGAGGGGGCUAGCGUUGUUCGGAAUUACUGGGCGUAAAGCGCACGUAGGCGGCUUUGCAAGUUAGAGGUGAAAGCCCGGAGCUUAACUCCGGAAUUGCCUUUAAAACUGCAUCGCUAGAAUUGUGGAGAGGUGAGUGGAAUUCCGAGUGUAGAGGUGAAAUUCGUAGAUAUUCGGAGGAACACCAGUGGCGAAGGCGGCUCACUGGCUCGAUACUGACGCUGAGGUGCGAAAGCGUGGGGAGCAAACAGG